rnacentral:lncRNA from 1 species
GCGGUCUAGAUGCUGGUGGGGUUCCGUAUGGGACAUUGGUGAAGACCCAGCCACGCCCUGGGUGCCAAGAUGCCAAAGGGCUCAUACCAUCCGGAAACUUGAGAGCUCAUGGCUGGGUCCUGUGCCUCGAAAGAUGAUAAGUGAGUCCAAGAAGGGGACUAGGUGGAGUGUGUGAGCAUGAACCUCUUUGAAUCAGGGUGAGCUGGCCCAUUCCGCCCAUCUCUCCUGGUGAUGCUGUCAGGGUGUUGGUGGCAAAAUCAAUGGUUGCCUUGGUUCCGCCCUCAUCAUGUUUUGCCUGCAGCAUUCCCAUCCUCAGCCUCCAACCUCCGGCCUCUCCCCUACACCCCCUUUCACACUGUGGCCAGACCCAUUUUUUUAAAUUGUAGUGAUAACACUGUGUUGGCCAAAAAGUUCAUACGGGUUUUUCCGUAAGAUGUCGUGGAAAAUCGGGAACGAACUUUGUGGCCAACCCAAUACUUAACAUGAGAUCUAAGUGUAGGAUAGUUGUUGAGUGUGAGGCCAGUGUUGCAGCUCUCCAGAGCUUAUUCAGACUGCUUCUUCUAACACGCAGAUCUGAGCCUAUCACUCCCUUGCUUAAAUCCUUCAGUGGCGCCCUGCUGCCCUCAGGGUACAGCAUCGUGGCUCUGCUUACCUCUCCAGGCUCAUUUUGUCUUACUACCCCUCCCCUCAACUCUUAUGUUCCAAGCACGUUCUCUUGCGUCCUUCAGUUCCUUCACAUCUGCUGCUCCCUCUGCCUGGGCCAGCCUUCCACCCUCCCGUCUUCCACUCGCCUAAGCCUCCUUGUCUUUAGAGGACUUAGCUUAGUGUCAUUGCCUCUCGGAAGCCUUGCCUGCCUCUAUACUCCAGGCUGGAUUACUGAGCAGAGUCUUGUGCGUUCUUCUGUUGCUGCACCCAUCAAGCGGUCUCUUAUGCAUGUGAGCACAUCAGGGGUCGUCCCUGUUCAUUGUGUCCCCAGCGUGGAAGGGUGCUCAGUACAUCCUGGAUGUCAAACACCUGAAUGAUAAACAGCUAACAUUUCAUGG